GGCCAUAUCACGUUGAAACACCGGUUUUCGGAAGAUCACCGAAGCUAAACAAUGUCGAGCUUGGUCAGUACCUAGAUCGGUGGCCCCGUGAGAAUACUAGAUGUUGUG